UUAUUUUAACAGAAUCUUACUCUUUUGGGUGCAACUGCUAUUGAAGAUAAACUUCAAAAGGGUGUUCCAGAAGCCAUAGCUGAUUUAUUGAAAGCUGAUAUAAAGUUUUGGGUUUUAACUGGUGACAAACAGGAAACUGCUAUAAACAUUGGUUAUUCAUGCAAACUUUUAACACAGACAAUGCCACUUCUAGUUAUUAAUGAAACCAGCUUAGAUAAUACAAGAGAAGCUAUAAGACGUCACAUGCAUGACUUUGGUGAUUUAUUGAGGAAGGAGCAUGAAGUAGCUUGAUUAUUGAUGGAAAGGUUAAUUCGUACUUGCUUUUCCUGUCGACUAUGAAAGUCUUUUUCCAGCCAAUUAAAGUGCUUCAGCUAAAAUGAAAUCUAAAUCAACCAAUAUUAUAUUUUCUUAUGCUCGGUUUUACUUGGAGGUGUCAUUCUUUAUUUAAGAUUGGUUAAAACUUUGUUAUUUUUGUAUACAGCAAAUAAAGUACUUUCCAGUUGCUGGAAGAUCAGGGAAAUAAAAAAAUAUCUGCAGAAUGUUGGUGUAAAUAUAAACUGUAUCCCCCCUGAAAAAAAAGAGGUCAGAAAAAAUAGAAUUUUUUGCAGAAAGACGGAGAAGUUAUAUGCACCAACCAGUUUUCUGAAAUAAUUAAAAGAAGUUAUUAGAUGAUUAGAAAUAAAGAAUAGCUCAUCUAAAAAAUAGAUGAAAACUUUGUUUUUCUUGUACAGAGUGUUUUAUUUCACUCAAUGAUUUUCUUUUCCCCUUGUAAGUGAGCUGUUACAUAUUGUGCUCUUUCAAAAUGUAUUUGAUCUGUCACUGCAUUCUUAAGAAGUAUAAUUGUCCUUAAAAAAUGGAUAGUUAAAGUUACUGCACUAUAUGAUUGUGAAUUGUAAUACAUAAUAACUGCAUUAAUUAAACACUGUUCCAAUUCAAUGUAAUUAUUGUCUUUUGCUUUAAUUUGUUAAAAUACAAUUUCUUAUAAAUGCUAUACUGUUGUAAUUUCUUUUGCAAAAUAGCACUUUCUUUCAGAAGUUAAUAUUUCUUGUAAAAAAUUCUAUCUGCUUUCUCUAAUGGUUUAGAGGCAUUUUUCUUACA